UUAACGCGCAGGCCGGAGGCUGGCCCCCCACGAUAGGGCCAAACGUCCGUCAGGGGUGAGCAGAUGUGCGCCGGCCGUACCGCCCCAUUCUUGUCUACCUUACUCGGUUGCCUCGGCGGGCCGCGCUCUUCCAGGAGAGCCGUUCGGCGAGCCUCUCUUUAGUGGCUAAACGCUGGACCGCGCCCGCCGGAGGACAGACGCAAAAAAAUUCUUUCAGAAGAGCUGUCAGUCUGAGCGUUAGCAAGCAAAAAUCAGUUAAAACUUUCAACAACGGAUCUCUUGGUUCCGGCAUCGAUGAAGAACGCAGCGAAAUGCGAUAAGUAAUGUGAAUUGCAGAAUUCCGUGAAUCAUCGAAUCUUUGAACGCACAUUGCGCCCCCUGGCAUUCCGGGGGGCAUGCCUGUUCGAGCGUCAUUUCAGCCCCUCAAGCCCGGCUUGUGUGAUGGACGACCGUCCGGCGCCCCCGUUUUUGGGGGUGCGGGACGCGCCCGAAAAGCAGUGGCCAGGCCGCGAUUCCGGCUUCCUAGGCGAAUGGGCAACAAACCAGCGCCUCCAGGACCGGCCGCCCUGGCCUCAAAAUCUGUUUUAUACUUAUCAGGUU
rnacentral:rRNA from 1 species